rnacentral:rRNA from 1 species
UACGGAGGGUGCAAGCGUUGUCCGGAAUCACUGGGCGUAAAGGGCGCGUAGGCGGCUCAUGAAGGCUGUGGUGAAAGUCCGGGGCUCAACCUCGGAUCGGCCGUGGCGACUCGUGGGCUGGAGCACUGUAGAGGCGGGUGGAAUUCCGGGUGUAGCGGUGGAAUGCGUAGAGAUCCGGAAGAACACCAGUGGCGAAGGCGGCUCUCUGGUCCGAAACUGACGCUGAGGUGCGAAAGCUAGGGUAGCAAACAGG